rnacentral:pre_miRNA from 1 species
UAAAUGAUUUCAGCUAAAAAAGUCAUCAACAUAAAAGUUGUAAAACUGGUCAAGAUCUCCAAUUUUUAUUUUAGUCAUUUUUUCAUAUGACAAAGUAAUAGUAACAUUGUUCAUAAAUUUUACAUAUCUCUGAUAUAGUUUCAUAAACUAUAUGAGAGAUAUGUAAAAUUUAUGAACAAUGUUACUAUUACUUUGUCGGAUGAAUAAAUAACCAAAAUAAAAGUUGUAGAUCUUGAUGAGUUGUACAACUUGUAUAUUCAUAACUUUAUCAACUAAAAUCAUUUA